UUCUGGGUAUGUUGGCGAAAGUAGCCAUUCUCGUACACCAGCUGUGACACCUGCUUCUGCAACCUAUCAUUUUCCUCCAUGAGAAGCUUGUUCAUUGCAGUCAGCUUCCUAUUCACCGCUUGAAGGCGGGAUGCCUCUUUCCUCUGCUUCUCUCUGCAUCUUCUAUUUUGGAACCAAACUUUGAUUUGUUUGGGUUCAACGUUAGAGAGCAUUGGGCAUUCCCUAAUGAACUGUUGGCGACGAAUGGAGCUG
rnacentral:misc_RNA from 1 species